CCAGAAUCAUUAGUUUUGCUGCAAGAUAUAUUCUGGUUUCUCGAAAAUUGCCCCCAGAUCUGAUACACUGCCAUGGAUGAAAUGAAACAUACGACGUCGUAGUGCUCGGGACCGGUCUCAAGGAAUGCAUAAUCAGUGGACUCCUCUCCGUCGAUGGACUCACACUGAGCGCUCUCUCUCUCCCUGUCUCUGCACGCACAUACAUAUUAUUUAUACAUUUUUAUGUUGGUGGUGGUAUCAUGUAUAUAUGAUUGUUUGAUCACUAUGUAUACAAAUGUGCGUCAUAUUGUUAAAUUCUGUUGUUUUGGAACUAAAGCUUUGCUUGUGAGAGAAUAGGUAAUUGAAUGGAAUGAAAAUGAGUGAUACAGAAGAGAGUGGUAUGGAAUGAAAAAUAAUUUUUCUUUGUUUGGGAGAUUAUGGGAUGGAAAGCAAUGAGAAAUGAGAGUACUGAAGAUGGAUGAAAUGAAAAUAUAUUAAUCAUCAAAUGACCACUGCACCCUUUUAGUGAAAAGGUCGUGUGUGACAAAGUUAAGGACAAAUUUGAAUAUUUAAUAAAAUUAUUGAGGUUAUUGCUGUCAAAUCAUAAAAGUUGAUUUUUUCGUCCAUUUUCUCCCAAUUUGGCAGGGGAAGACAAAAGUAGGCCACUGGAUGGAAAGUGUUUCAAUCAAUUUCCAUUCCCCUCCAUUACUAAUGUGUCUCCCAAACGAAGAGAACUUCCACCCAAUUCCAUUCCAUCCCACCUACCAAACGCAUUGGAAGGGUUUCUUCUGUUUUGGGAUUAUAAUGGUGUUGUUAAACUGCAAGAAGAUAGGGUUCUUUGUUCCAUGGUUGGAACAGGUUCUUCACAUGGAUAGAAAUGAUUACCACGGAUAAGAAUCCACUUCACUUAUUCUCAACCAUCUCUGGAAGCGAUUCAGAGGUGGUGAUACACCUCAAGGACAUUUGGGCUCAAGCAGAGAUUACAAUGUCAACAUGAUCCCCAAAGUAUGCAGACUUCCUUGUCGUCAUCAUUCAAUGUAUUUAUAUCCACAAAGGAAGUCUUUGGUCUUCCAUGUGCUAUUUUUACCCUCUUCUUAAAUCGUGUAAGCUCUAAAAUUUCCGUAGUUAGAGAAUUGGUCCGAUUUUACAACUUGACUUGCUGAGUGAAGCUGAGCUGAGCGUCAACUGACCCAACUCGAGAGGCUAGUUUGAACAGUAUAAUUUUGCAUAAACACAA